rnacentral:lncRNA from 12 species
AUUCUGAUGGCAUUGAGCACAGCCCAGUAAAAGACAAAUGAACAAGCUUGGAGUGUGUCUGAGUUUCCUGCAGCAUCAGGAGAGGGAGAGAGAGACACCAUGAUUCCUACCAAGAUGCUACUGCUCUUGCCGUCAAUGGCUUUGCUGGCCUUGGGGUCUGCUCAGGGCAUCGAUGACGGUAAAUUGGGGAGAUAGAAGAUCAUGCAAGCAUGCGGGAGUGUGUCUGAGUUUCCUGCAACAUCAGGAGAGGGAGAGACAGACAUCAUGAUUCCUACCAAGAUGCUACUGCUCUUGCUGUCAAUGGCUUUGCUGGCCUUGGGCUCUGCUCAGGGCAUCGAUGAAGGUAAGUUGGGGAGAUAGAAGAUCAUGCAAGCACACGGGUAACAUUCUUGGAGAAGAUUAAGGUUGAA